AGUGCAUCCUAUUGGACACCAUGACUCAUUCCAGCUGCUGGAAUAUUUAGGUUGGAUCAGUGUCAGCUUGCCCACAGCCUCCAGCACUCAUGAAGAUCGGCGUCCUGUCCAGGGUGUAGCUGCGCUUCUCACCCACAGAAAGCGGCAGAUAGGCACUGGCCCCACCGCCACUCUGACAGAUGAAGCGGGAAAAGAUAGAAUAGAAGACAUUCUGUCAUGGUGUGCAGCGGUCAGAGGCUGAAGUGGCGACAGGAUGUUGGCAGCUGCAUGUUUGAUGGAUAUGCUAACUUAUAGGAAACUGAGGAAGAAGCAGACAUGUCAGCGGUGAGGGAACAGCUCUGUCUACUUUUCUG